GGGCCCGUAGUCUAGCGGCUAGGAUGCCCGCCUCACGCGCGGGAGAUCCCGGGUUCGAAUCCCGGCGGGCCCA
rnacentral:tRNA from 1 species